UCGAUGGUUGCUUUUAUCUGAAUGUCCACUCUUCCAUUUCUAGGCACACACUAUUGGUAAUUGGUAUAUUGGCAGGUGUCUCGCCUGUUGCCACUAAUUGAUGUUUACUGUCGCCCAACGUUGAAGAGGAUCUGCGAAUGACCAAUGCAAGAUAGCGAUGGUAUCUCUUUGAAGUGAUAAUGUUGAUCGGCUAAAAGAAGUUAGUGCCAAAGGGUCCUGGUUGCUUUUGGUAUAGGAAUUCCCACGUACAGAAAACAAGAUUGUGGUUCUAAGCCUCUCAGGAAGCUAGCGGCCCCAUGUCUGCACACAUAUAUUUCGGAGAUAACGUUGUGUGACUUGCAGGUAAUCUAUGGCUUGGUAUGCCAACUGGGAAGCCAUGUGUAUGUGCUUUAGCUAAUAAUCUAUAGCUAUGAUGUGGCGUAUAUGCUGCACUUAUUGGUCCUGUUGAUAUUAUUGGUGAGAAAAAGACUCUGAUGUGAAUCAGAUGAAGCUGAGAUGAACACUGUAGCUGAGUUGUCUGUUAUGUAUCUACACGUUGCCUUGGUGAGUAGUUUCUGUUUACCUGAUGGUUACCAAUAAAUAGAAGUUUGCAUUGUGUUUCACAGUGUAAAUUGUUCAAUUGCAAAAUUAAGAUCGGUAGCUUGCAGCUCAACUAGAACUGGUAUAUUUUUCAUAUAAUGGAUGUACCUGAAAGUCGGUUCGAGAAGGUGCUGUUUAUAAGUAUUCCAAGGAAGCAUGUUCAAACAAAACCAUGAAAAAAGUUCAGUAUAACCUUCUCAAAUUGAAAUCUACCUGCUACCCUGUUACUAUCAGUGUACUUCAUAGGAUUCUACAAAAUAAAUACCUAAGACAUAAGACUUUAUCUGAUGUGCAGGCUAAGCCUACUGAUUCUCCCUUUUGGAAAGGGUUGAUGGAGGUUAAGGAGAAUUUCUUUUCUAGGGUUUUUUUUAAAGUGGGUAAUGGAAUGAAUACCAGCUUCUGAGAAGAUAUGUGGUUAGGAAAAACUCCUUUAGCACAUCAGUAUCCAUCCCUAUAUAAUAGUGUGCAUCACAAGAAUGUAACAGUAGCCCAUGUAUUAGCUCAAACCACACUCAAUAUUUCUUUUCGUAGAGUGUUGAGUGGUAAUAAGUGGUCCUCAUGGGUAAACUUAUGUCGCAAAUUGAUGAGGGUAAACUUGAGUGAAGAUAAUGAUCGGUUUGUUUGGGAUUUGACAUCCACAGGACUCUUUACGGUUAAGUCUAUAUAUGAAGAUCUUAUGAAUGAUCAUACUCCUUUUUUGCGAAAGUACUUCUGGAAGGUUAAGGUUCCUCUUAAGAUAAAAAAAAUUCAUGUGGUUCUUGAGUAAUAAGGUUUUAUUAACUAAAGAUAAUUUAGCCAAACGACACUGGAAUGGGUGUACGAAAUGUG